CAGAAACAGCGUUCAAUGCAGCAAUGGAGGAGAAGGGUACGAAACCCUUAAGGUAAUUUCAAAACGCCGUAACUUUCCAAUUCGAGCUCCGAUUGCCGUACUGUUUGCGGCUACGCGACUACCGCGUCGAGCUCUACGAUUCUACCAAAACAUUUCAUAGGUUGUGAAUAAAUAAUUGGAGCUUGAAAUUGUGGAUAUUGGAACUUGGAAGAAGUUGAAUACUAGUGUUUUAUUGAAGUCUUUGGGCUGUGUUUACUUUAGUGAGUUGCCUUGAUCAUUACGAGGAAAUCGACCAAGAUACAGGUCGAGAGGCACCUCCUUAGGCGUCUGAGUUUCUAAAGCGAAGUGGUUAUCAGGUUACUUAUUGGAUUGUAUAGUCUUAUAUAUCUGUGCACCUAGUAUUCUCUCUGCAUGACUUGUUCCUAUUGAUCCUCUUAGAGGCUUAUGGAGAGAUAGGAUUUUGUUUAUAUAAAUUUGGAUUUUGGAUAUGUAUAUAUAUGUGUAAAUAUUUUCCGGCCAUUCUUGACUUCGCGGGCUGAGUUAGGAGCUUGUUAUUUUGUAUCUUUGACCAUCUAUUCCUACUUUGUUAUCUUAUGCUUGAUAG